rnacentral:misc_RNA from 1 species
AAGUCGUAACAAGGUUUCCGUAGGUGAACCUGCGGAAGGAUCAUUACCAAAUCCAAAAAAAAACUUUAUCAACACCCUAUGUGAACUGAGAAUGGUUUCGUUCCCUCCUCCUUCUCGGAGGCGGAGGGAAUGUCCUUUUUUCAACCCCUUUACAACUAUACAAACCUAUAUUUAUGCUGAAAGCAAAACAAAAAACGAAACAUGAGACAACUUUUAACGGUGGAUCUCUUGGCUCGU